UCAGGACGAACGCUGGCGGCGUGCCUAAUACAUGCAAGUCGAGCGGACAGAAGGGAGCUUGCUCCCGGAUGUUAGCGGCGGACGGGUGAGUAACACGUGGGUAACCUGCCUGUAAGACUGGGAUAACUCCGGGAAACCGGAGCUAAUACCGGAUAGUUCCUUGAACCGCAUGGUUCAAGGAUGAAAGACGGUUUCGGCUGUCACUUACAGAUGGACCCGCGGCGCAUUAGCUAGUUGGUGGGGUAAUGGCUCACCAAGGCGACGAUGCGUAGCCGACCUGAGAGGGUGAUCGGCCACACUGGGACUGAGACACGGCCCAGACUCCUACGGGAGGCAGCAGUAGGGAAUCUUCCGCAAUGGACGAAAGUCUGACGGAGCAACGCCGCGUGAGUGAUGAAGGUUUUCGGAUCGUAAAGCUCUGUUGUUAGGGAAGAACAAGUGCGAGAGUAACUGCUCGC
rnacentral:rRNA from 1 species